rnacentral:rRNA from 1 species
AGCGAACGCUGGCGGCAGGCUUAACACAUGCAAGUCGAGCGGGCAUCCUUGUGGUGUCAGCGGCAGACGGGUGAGUAACGCGUGGGAACGUGCCCUUCGGUUCGGAAUAACUCAGGGAAACUUGAGCUAAUACCGGAUACGUGCGAGAGCAGAAAGGUUUAUCUGCCGAAGGAUCGGCCCGCGUCUGAUUAGCUAGUUGGUGAGGUUAUGGCUCACCAAGGCGACGAUCAGUAGCUGGUCUGAGAGGAUGAUCAGCCACACUGGGACUGAGACACGGCCCAGACUCCUACGGGAGGCAGCAGUGGGGAAUAUUGGACAAUGGGGGCAACCCUGAUUCAGCCAUGCCGCGUGAGUGAUGACGGCCUUAGGGUUGUAAAGCUCUUUUCUCCGGGACGAUAAUGACGGUACCGGAGGAAUAAGCCCCGGCUAACUUCGUG